rnacentral:rRNA from 1 species
ACGGAAGGCAGCAGUGAGGAAUAUUGGUCAAUGGGCGGAAGCCUGGACCAGCCAAGUCGCGUGAAGGAUGAAGGUAUUAUGUAUUGUAAACUUCUUUAGACGUAGAGAAAUAAGAGGCUCGUGAGCCUUGAUGCUAGUAUACGUAGAAUAAGGAUCGGCUAACUCCGUGCCAGCAGCCGCGGUAAUACGGAGGAUCCGAGCGUUAUCCGGAUUUAUUGGGUUUAAAGGGUGCGCAGGCGGCCCUGUAAGUCAGCGGUUAAAUCGUGGAGCUCAACUCCAUCCCGCCGUUGAUACUGCAGGGCUUGAUUGCGGUCGAGGUUGGCGGAAUUCGCCGUGUAGCGGUGAAAUGCAUAGAUAUGGCGAAGAACUCCGAUUGCGUAGGCAGCUGACCAGGCCGUAAAUGACGCUCAUGCACGAAAGUGCGGGGAUCGAACAGGAUUAGAUACCCUGGUA